rnacentral:rRNA from 1 species
UACGAAGGGGGCUAGCGUUGCUCGGAAUGACUGGGCGUAAAGGGCUCGUAGGCGGCCAACUAAGUCAGACGUGAAAUCCCUCGGCUUAACCGGGGAACUGCGUCUGAUACUGGAUGGCUUGAGGUUGGGAGAGGGAUGCGGAAUUCCAGGUGUAGCGGUGAAAUGCGUAGAUAUCUGGAGGAACACCGGUGGCGAAGGCGGCAUCCUGGACCAAUUCUGACGCUGAGGAGCGAAAGCCAGGGGAGCAAACGGG